AGCAAAUCAGACUCGCUCUACACAGAGAUCUACAGCACAGAGAUACAGACAUGACACCUACAAUCAUCUCAGACGAGCAUCUCCAUCUCAACAACAAGCUGAUAAAGCCAAUCAUGGAGAACACAUGCAGAGAUCGUAUCAACAGAAGCAUCGAGCAGCUCAAGGCUCAGAAGAGAUCCAGAGUCUGAUUUCGAGCAUUGAGAUGUCUUUCAUAUACAGAAUGACCUCAUGUGGUGUAAAUAAGAGACUGAUCCUGCAUCAGUUGGUCUUCUGCAGCAACAAUAUGAAGAUUUCAUCGUAAAGCGCCCUCUGGAGGCGAAGCAACAAGUCUAUAUUAGACACUGGAUGUGGACCACGUUUUGGUUCAUACAUUUUCUGUGUGAUGUGCAGAAACUAUUAAACUGAAUCAGAUGUUUUUAAACACAUCAAUUUGAUGUCAAUGACAAUAUUUUUGGACUUGAUUUUAAGUUUUUAUGUACUCUUCAUAGGAUUUUGUUUCUGUUUUAAGAAAUGUAUUGUGUGUUGUUAUAAUACACUUUUAUCUUUAUACACCUUCCAUGAAGGUAUAUCACAUUUUUGAGAUGGUAAAUCUCACGUAACUGCUAAAAUUUCCUUCAUUAGGAAAAUAUGUUAUCUUUAUGAUAAAUGCUUUGUUGUCCUUGUAGGACAUAUGAUCACUUAGUAUCCAGUCAAGUUUGGCUUUUAAUGUAUAAUUUCCAGCAAACGUUACGAUAACUCACUUCUGUGGAGUCACAUGUGAAAGUUUGUGUUGGUUCUCAAUAUAUUGUCCUUCAGAGGAUCUUAUAGUUUAAUGUUUAAACUCUGUCAGUUUCUGUGAAGACUGCCACUGUGUACUAAUAUCAUUCUCUUGUAGAGGAAUGCUGAUCAUUUAUCUCUCUUAACCAUUUGUGUGGUUAAUGUUGUAUGACCUUUGUAAAGGUUGUUAUUUGAUGUGUACUCUAGAAUGCAUCUAAAGUGUUUUGAAGGUCUCUUCAUGCAUGUUGCAAUGUUUUAUUGCCUAUUUAUUUGCACUCAAAACAUGGGUACUCAUAAACAAAAUAAAAUAGUUUAUUCUA